GUGUGGUGCACAUAUACUAAGAUUGGAACGAUACAGAGAAGAUUAGCAUGGCCCUGCAUGGCGCAAGGAUGACCACCACCCAGAUUGUUGCAUGCCCAGAGUGA